UACGUAGGGUGCGAGCGUUAAUCGGAAUUACUGGGCGUAAAGCGUGCGCAGGCGGUCUGUUAAGCCAGAUGUGAAAUCCCCGGGCUUAACCUGGGAACUGCAUUUGUGACUGGCAGGCUAGAGUAUGGCAGAGGGGGGUAGAAUUCCACGUGUAGCAGUGAAAUGCGUAGAGAUGUGGAGGAAUACCGAUGGCGAAGGCAGCCCCCUGGGCCAAUACUGACGCUCAUGCACGAAAGCGUGGGGAGCAAACAGG
rnacentral:rRNA from 1 species